GAUGAACGCUGGCGGCGUGCCUAAUACAUGCAAGUCGAGCGAACAGACGAGGAGCUUGCUCCUCUGACGUUAGCGGCGGACGGGUGAGUAACACGUGGAUAACCUACCUAUAAGACUGGGAUAACUUCGGGAAACCGGAGCUAAUACCGGAUAAUAUAUUUAACCGCAUGGUUCAAUAGUUAAAGACGGUUUUGCUGUCACUUAUAGAUGGAUCCGCUCCGCAUUAGCUAGUUGGUAAGGUAACGGCUUACCAAGGCAACGAUGCGUAGCCGACCUGAGAGGGUGAUCGGCCACACUGGAACUGAGACACGGUCCAGACUCCUACGGGAGGCAGCAGUAGGGAAUCUUCCGCAAUGGGCGAAAGCCUGACGGAGCAACGCCGCGUGAGUGAUGAAGGUCUUCGGAUCGUAAAACUCUGUUAUUAGGGAAGAACAAAUGUGUAAGUAACUAUGCACGUCUUGACGGUACCUAAUCAGAAAGCCACGGCUAACUACGUG
rnacentral:rRNA from 1 species